GACGAACGCUGGCGGCGUGCUUAACACAUGCAAGUCGAGCGGUAAGGCCCUUUCGGGGGUACACGAGCGGCGAACGGGUGAGUAACACGUGGGUGACCUGCCCUUAGCUCUGGGAUAAGCCUGGGAAACUGGGUCUAAUACCGGAUAUGACUCCAUAACGCAUGUUGUGGGGUGGAAAGCCUUGUGCGGCCAGGGAUGGGCCCGCGGCCUAUCAGCUUGUUGGUGGGGUGAUGGCCUACCAAGGCGACGACGGGUAGCCGGCCUGAGAGGGCGACCGGCCACACUGGGACUGAGACACGGCCCAGACUCCUACGGGAGGCAGCAGUGGGGAAUCUUGCGCAAUGGGCGAAAGCCUGACGCAGCGACGCCGCGUGGGGGA
rnacentral:rRNA from 1 species